AAAAAAUGUAAAAAAAAAAAUUAGAGUAGUAAUAGGUAUGUUCUUAAAACUUAAAAAAUUUGGCGGUAUUUUAAUCUAUUCAGAGGAACUUGUUUCAUAAUUGAUAGUCCUCAUUGAAUCUUACUUAGAUUUGUUUAAUUUGUAUAUCGUUGUCAUAAGAGUAUCUUAAAAAGGUAAUAAAAUAUUCUUAAACAAUAAAGAGUUUAGUAUGUCAGAUCAAGGUGCAGUUUAUAUUUAAGUAGAAAUGAGUUACAAUUAAUUUUAUUAAUUAUGAAUUAAAAAUUUAAAAUUUUAUGAAGGUGGAUUUGAGUGUAAAUUUUUAGAGAUAGUAAG
rnacentral:rRNA from 1 species